rnacentral:rRNA from 1 species
ACUCCUACGGGAGGCAGCAGUGGGGAAUAUUGCACAAUGGGCGCAAGCCUGAUGCAGCAACGCCGCGUGAGGGACGACGGCCUUCGGGUUGUAAACCUCUUUUAGUAGGGAAGAAGCGAAAGUGACGGUACCUGCAGAAAAAGCACCGGCUAACUACGUGCCAGCAGCCGCGGUAAUACGUAGGGUGCAAGCGUUAUCCGGAAUUAUUGGGCGUAAAGAGCUCGUAGGCGGUUUGUCGCGUCUGCUGUGAAAACUGGAGGCUCAACCUCCAGCCUGCAGUGGGUACGGGCAGACUAGAGUGCGGUAGGGGAGAUUGGAAUUCCUGGUGUAGCGGUGGAAUGCGCAGAUAUCAGGAGGAACACCGAUGGCGAAGGCAGAUCUCUGGGCCGUAACUGACGCUGAGGAGCGAAAGCAUGGGGAGCGAACAGGAUUAGAUACCCUGGUAGUCCAUGCCGUAAACGUUGGGAACUAGAUGUAGGGACCAUUCCACGGUUUCUGUGUCGCAGCUAACGCAUUAAGUUCCCCGCCUGGGGAGUACGGCCGCAAGGCUAAAACUCAAAGGAAUUGACGGGGGCCCGCACAAGCGGCGGAGCAUGCGGAUUAAUUCGAUGCAACGCGAAGAACCUUACCAAGGCUUGACAUAUACCGGAAAAGUGCAAAAAUGUACUCCCCGCAAGGUCSGUAUACAGGUGGUGCAUGGUUGUCGUCAGCUCGUGUCGUGAGAUGUUGGGUUAAGUCCCGCAACGAGCGCAACCCUCGUUCUAUGUUGCCAGCACGUAAUGGUGGGAACUCAUAGGAGACUGCCGGGGUCAACUCGGA